GUUCCUGUGACGCAGUGGUUAGCGUGUCGUUCUUAUAUUGUCCUGGCUUAGCUGAGCAAUAUGGUUAGAAAUGCGAAUGUCGUGGGUUCGACCCCCUCCAGGAACA